UAGACUCCAGAAGCAGCAAUGGCCA
rnacentral:piRNA from 1 species